rnacentral:rRNA from 1 species
GAUAAACGCUGGCGGCGUGCCUAAUACAUGCAAGUCGAGCGAACGGACGAGAAGCUUGCUUCUCUGAUGUUAGCGGCGGACGGGUGAGUAACACGUGGAUAACCUACCUAUAAGACUGGGAUAACUUCGGGAAACCGGAGCUAAUACCGGAUAAUAUUUUGAACCGCAUGGUUCAAAAGUGAAAGACGGUCUUGCUGUCACUUAUAGAUGGAUCCGCGCUGCAUUAGAUAGUUGGUAAGGUAACGGCUUACCAAGGCAACGAUGCAUAGCCGACCUGAGAGGGUGAUCGGCCACACUGGAACUGAGACACGGUCCAGACUCCUACGGGAGGCAGCAGUAGGGAAUCUUCCGCAAUGGGCGAAAGCCUGACGGAGCAACGCCGCGUGAGUGAUGAAGGUCUUCGGAUCGUAAAACUCUGUUAUUAGGGAAGAACAUAUGUGUAAGUAACUGUGCACAUCUUGACGGUACCUAAUCAGAAAGCCACGGCUAACUACGUG